rnacentral:rRNA from 1 species
AGUGAACGCUGGCGGUAGGCCUAACACAUGCAAGUCGAACGGCAGCACAGUAAGAGCUUGCUCUUACGGGUGGCGAGUGGCGGACGGGUGAGGAAUACAUCGGAAUCUACUUUUUCGUGGGGGAUAACGUAGGGAAACUUACGCUAAUACCGCAUACGACCUACGGGUGAAAGCAGGGGAUCUUCGGACCCUGCGCGAUUGAAUGAGCCGAUGUCGGAUUAGCUAGUUGGCGGGGUAAAGGCCCACCAAGGCGACGAUCCGUAGCUGGUCUGAGAGGAUGAUCAGCCACACUGGAACUGAGACACGGUCCAGACUCCUACGGGAGGCAGCAGUGGGGAAUAUUGGACAAUGGGCGCAAGCCUGAUCCAGCCAUACCGCGUGGGUGAAGAAGGCCUUCGGGUUGUAAAGCCCUUUUAUUGGGAAAGAAAAGCAGCAGGUUAAUACCCCGCUGUUCUGACGGUACCCAAAGAAUAAGCACCGGCUAACUUCGUG